AGAGUUUGAUCCUGGCUCAGAAUGAACGUUGGCGGCGUGGAUUAGGCAUGCAAGUCGAACGGGCCGCAAGGCCAGUGGCGCAAGGGUGAGUAAGGCGACGGUAACCAACCCCACGGGUGGGUAUAGCCGCGGGAAACUGCGGGUAAUCCCCAGCGACGCAGCCGCUCGGCAUCGAGUGGCUGCCAAAGUUUCGACGCCGU
rnacentral:rRNA from 1 species